rnacentral:rRNA from 1 species
UGAGGAAUAUUGGUCAAUGGACGAGAGUCUGAACCAGCCAAGUAGCGUGCAGGAAGACGGCCCUAUGGGUUGUAAACUGCUUUUAUAAGGGAAUAAAGUGAGUCUCGUGAGACUUUUUGCAUGUACCUUAUGAAUAAGGACCGGCUAAUUCCGUGCCAGCAGCCGCGGUAAUACGGAAGGUCCGGGCGUUAUCCGGAUUUAUUGGGUUUAAAGGGAGCGUAGGCCGGAGAUUAAGCGUGUUGUGAAAUGUAGACGCUCAACGUCUGCACUGCAGCGCGAACUGGUUUCCUUGAGUACGCACAAAGUGGGCGGAAUUCGUGGUGUAGCGGUGAAAUGCUUAGAUAUCACGAAGAACUCCGAUUGCGAAGGCAGCUCACUGGAGCGCAACUGACGCUGAAGCUCGAAAGUGCGGGUAUCGAACAGGAUUAGAUACCCUGGUAGUCCGCACGGUAAACGAUGGAUGCCCGCUGUUGGUCUGAAUAGGUCAGCGGCCAAGCGAAAGCAUUAAGCAUCCCACCUGGGGAGUACGCCGGCAACGGUGCAACUCAAAGGAAUUGACGG